CGGGGGGAGCAAGCGUUGUUCGGGUUUACUGGGCGUAAAGGGCGCGUAGGCGGCCACCGCAAGUCGACUGUGAAAUCUCCGGGCUUAACCCGGAAAGGUCAGCCGAUACUGCGGGGCUAGAGUGCAGAAGGGGCAACUGGAAUUCUCGGUGUAGCGGUGAAAUGCGUAGAUAUCGAGAGGAACACCUGCGGCGAAGGCGGGUUGCUGGGCUGACACUGACGCUGAGGCGCGAAAGCUAGGGGAGCGAACGGGAUUAGAUACCCCGGUAGUCCUAGCCUUAAACGAUGAAUGCUUGGUGUCUGGGGUUUUAUAGUCCCCGGGUGCCGUCGCUAACGCUUUAAGCAUUCCGCCUGGGGAGUACGGUCGCAAGACUG
rnacentral:rRNA from 1 species